CAAUACCUUCAACCAGGUUCAGCCUCAGUAAUUCCAAAGGAAACUUCUCAGUAAAUCUCAUUCUUCUUACCGCUCUGUUCCAUGCAUGACUUUUCUGCGUUGUGGAGCAGCCAGCAAGCAUGACCACACUCCUGCCCCAGCCCCGGAUAUUAUGCUGUGGCACCUGGACCCUUGAGCUUUUGAUGCAAAGCAGACUAAUUAUCACUCUGACAGACAACAACAAUUAAAAGAAAAUAACCUCACAAAAUAUCAUUUCUUCAAUCAUUUUGUCCCACUGCACUGCUCAAUACAAGACUGCAUGACAAGGAAAUGUAUCAUAAUAUCUACUAUUAACAUAAUGCAUAUUGAAACACCAAAAUGAAGAUGAAUAGCAACUAAGGCAACUUAAAUUCUAGUUCAGCACACAAAAUAGAUAGAAGCGUGCUGUACUCUUAUUUUAAGCAGCUGGAGGUUUGUACCUGUGCAUGCACCUUUGCUUUCCUGAAGCAAUCCAUGUCAUGUGAGGUUGACCUUGGAAUGCCAGUAGGUAUGCUGAAGUCCUUUUUUAUCUGGUGUUUGCUACAGUUUUUACUGGCUGAUAUUUUUUAUUCUUCUCCACUAUCUGGAAAAAGACAUAAAGCAGAAGUAUAAGGUGAUCAGUGUAGUGCACAGCAAUAUAUAUUUUUUCUUAAUAACUUCAUAUAUAUAUUGUGCAUCAGUGGGAAUAGAGUGACAUCACACAUUUGUCUGUGUGCCUUAUUCUAUAGCAAAUUACC
ensembl:lncRNA